GACAGUUUAGCUUAAUUGGUAAAGCACUUCACUGGUAAUGAAAGGGAUAUGAGUUCCAAUCUCAUGGCUGAUU
rnacentral:tRNA from 1 species